rnacentral:rRNA from 1 species
UACGUAGGGCGCAAGCGUUGUCCGGAAUCAUUGGGCGUAAAGAGCGUGUAGGCGGCCACUUAAGUCCUGCGUGAAAUCUUGCGGCUCAACCGCAAGCGGUCGUGGGAAACUGGGUGGCUAGAGUGCGGGAGAGGAGAGUGGAAUUCCUGGUGUAGCGGUGGAAUGCGCAGAUAUCAGGAAGAACACCCGUGGCGAAGGCGGCUCUCUGGGACGGUACUGACGGCUGAGACGCGACAGCGUGGGGGAGCAAACAGG